rnacentral:lncRNA from 1 species
GUGAGGAAGAGCGAUUAUGAACGGAGGGUCAUUCCGUGCCAUGUUUUGAUAAUUAUGCACGAAGGGUCAUUCCGUGUCAUGUUUUAAAUAAUUGAGCAUGAAGGUUCUGUGCCUUUAUAUGAGAGUAAGUUGAGGAAAAAUACGAAGGGUAAUGCCGUGCACUUUAUUUAACUGUUUUGGUGAGAAAGAGAGUAAAAGCAUGAAGGUUGGUGUCGUGCAGUUGUUGAUUUACCUGUUCUCUUUAAUUGAUGUUGUUGUACGGUUUCAUUUCUUUGUUCGUUGAUCCUAUAUCUGAAUUGUUAGACCCUAUAGCAUGCUCCCAUCUCUAGUAGCUGUAUAUUGUUUUCUACCUAUUGCAUAUAUAUCUGCACAAGUUAUUUUCGGUAGGUCCUAUCUAGACUCGUUACUGCUUCGUCGGGGUUAGGCUAAGCACUUACCAGCACAUGUGUUCGGUUGUGCUUAUGCUACACUCUAUGCAUCUCUUUGCACAGAUCCAAGAGCGACAUUUGGACCACAACAACAGCAAUGAUCGGGAGCUAACUUCAGUCCAUGGACUUGCGAGGUAACCUAGUUGACGUCCGCAGGCCGGAGUCCCUUUAUCUUUGUUAGUUUGUUUUCUUUGUAUCGAGACAAACACUGAUGUAUUUCAUUCAGACUUUUACUUUAUUUCUCUAAAGUAGUUCGUGAGUAGUGACACCAGACUCUGGGUAGAGGUGUAUUCAGACUUCCACAUUUUUAUUUUCAGUUAUAUAAAUUUAAAGACUUCCGCCUUAUUUAAUUGUUUCGUUUUAUCUAUAGUAUCGCGAAUGUUAUUUGAAAAUGUUUAAAUUUUGGCUUGCCUAGCUCCUCAUAAUAGGUGCCAUCACGACUUCCGAUGCUGAAAAAUAAUAUAUAUUGACGAAAUUAGCGACCAAGUGGCGACCAAUCUUGGUCGCUAAUGUAUUUCAAAUAUUUAUUUCAUUAUUUUUACUAAUCUAGCGACCAAU